UGCCCCCAAAAAGUUAGGAAAUCAGACACUCAACACUCGACCUCUCUGGGCCAGCUCCCCUCUGCUAUCCCUGCGCCUUCUGGCCAUUCUGCCUCCUGCAAGGCACGUCAGCCGAUUACCACUGUCAAAGUGGGAGAACGGG